GAUGAACGCUGGCGGCGUGCUUAACACAUGCAAGUCGAACGAGAAGUGAAGACGGAAACCUUCGGGCGGAAGGCUUUAUUUCGAGUGGCGGACGGGUGAGUAACGCGUGGGUAACCUGCCUCAUACAGGGGGAUAACAGUUGGAAACGACUGUUAAUACCGCGUAAGACCACAGCACCGCAUGGUGCGGGGGUAAAAACUCCGGUGGUAUGAGAUGGACCCGCGUUCGAUUAGCCAGUUGGCGGGGUAACGGCCCACCAAAGCGACGAUCGAUAGCCGAUCUGAGAGGAUGACCGGCCACAUUGGGACUGAGACACGGCCCAAACUCCUACGGGAGGCAGCAGUGGGGAAUAUUGCACAAUGGGGGAAACCCUGAUGCAGCGACGCCGCGUGAGUGAAGAAGUAUUUCGGUAUGUAAAGCUCUAUCAGCAGGGAAGAAAAUGACGGUACCUGAGUAAGAAGCCCCGGCUAACUACGUG
rnacentral:rRNA from 1 species